UUACUCACCUGGCAAGGGAGACGUCAUAACCAAGAGGGUGACUUUCCCAGGUUGGAACAGUCUGGAUGUGCUAAGCCCUUCGAUUUCCCCAGCUGAAGAAAACCUGACUGCAUACAUCUGCUAUAGGGAAACUGUGGUGUAAAUAUUGAAAAUAGUGCUUUUCUUA
ensembl:snRNA U1 U1 spliceosomal RNA